UAGAUAUAGAGAUAUAGAUAUAUAGAUAAUAUGCUGUAAAACAGCUUCAGGCAGGUCCUGCAGGAGGUAUUCCAGAAGAAGGCAUAGGAGAUGACAGCUUUACGUAUGUUAUUGUACCUGAUGAGUUUCCAGUGGAAUAAGAUGUGGAGUUGGAAGAGAGUGAUACUGAUGAUCACGACCCUGGCUUCCAGUGGUGCAAGCCCCAUUCAUGUUUAUUAGAUUGCUACUGGUGUGCAAUUCAGAAGAGAAGAAGGCUUGGAGACAGAACAGUGAAAAAUGGAGAGUUGGAUCAACACCAAGUUGGAGACAGGAACUUUGUAACACCUGACACAGAGUGGAAAUUCAAUAACAGUUGAAUGAAGGUUAAAUG
rnacentral:lncRNA from 10 species